AGAAUCAUGCACGUGUGAAAAUAAAGAUGUCCUGCUGUAUGUUGACGAGAAGUUUAAUGAUGUCAAUGUAACCAAGGAAAGUUUCCUUAUGGAUAUCCUCGCGAAAAGCGCACUCAAAAUGACAAACAGAAGGAUUGUAUUCGAGUAUAUAAGGAAAACCUACGAAAGGAAUAAACAACGCCUGUUUCCAGUAACAGCCCAAAACGACGAGGAAACCUCCAUUUUCAUCUUUAUGUUGAUGUUUCUUAUCGAAGGACAUGACAUUUGGUAUGACAAUAA